GGAGGGUUGCGAGAAUGGCUAUUCGGCUAGUCUUGAAAACUAGUGCCCUUCGGGGUUUGCAGGUUCGAAUCCUGCACCCUCCG
rnacentral:tRNA from 1 species